rnacentral:rRNA from 1 species
GGGGCACCACCAGGAGUGGAGCCUGCGGCUUAAUUUGACUCAACACGGGAAAACUUACCCGGCCCGGACACUGGAAGGAUUGACAGAUUGAGAGCUCUUUCUUGAUUCAGUGGGUGGUGGUGCAUGGCCGUUCUUAGUUGGUGGAGCGAUUUGUCUGGUUAAUUCCGAUAACGAACGAGACUCUAGCCUACUAAAUAGAGAGCGAAUCAUUCGUUUGCUGUACUUCUUAAAGAGACUAGGGGCGGCUAGCCCCACGAGAUUGAACAAUAACCGGGCUGGGAAGGCCUUAAAAGGCCGGGGCCUGCCGCGCGCUACCCUGAAAGAAUCCAAAGGGGUUCAUCCUGUGCUGAGAAAAUCGGGUAACCUAAUGAAACUCCUUCUCGAUUGGGAUAGGGACUUGUGAUUAUUUCCCUUGAGAAAGAAAUUCCUAGAAAGAGCGGAACAUCUUCUCGUGUUGAGUACACCCCUGUGCUUUGUGCACACCGCCCGCCGCUACUCUACAGAGAGGAUGUAUCCGUA